GAGGUUGUGGUGUAGCGGCAGCACAGCGGACUUUUAAUCCGCAAAGCGUGGGUUCGAAUCCCACCGGCCUCAC
rnacentral:tRNA from 1 species